AUUUAAGUUUGAUUGCAUUACUAAAAAAUAUUAAGUAUAUUCUACUAAUUUGUACACAUAGUCAAAAGUGUUAAUAAGUUUAAGUUGAAUGGCCUUAAAAUUCUAAGUUUUAGUCAUGACCACACCUCUUUUUUAAUCUGCGCAGAGUUGUGAAGCCGCCAUUUUAACUUUCACAGAUCAGCAGCAGUUACGUGAGGUUUGGUAAAAUUCAGAGUGAGCUUCAGCCAACGUUUGUUCUCUGAACUUAGUAUUUUGGAUCCUGACUGUCGGUGGGAAUGUUUGUUUUAACUUUAAGAGCAGUGGAAAUCGCGUGUUUUACAGUUUGAUAGUUACAGGUGGUAUUUUACCAAUUUCACGUCAUUUUCAUCUGUUGGAUAAGUUGCUUUUGUCACUGUGGAGAGCUCUCUGGAUUUGGAAUGGGACACUUUUUUUUGAAAACUUUUCGGAUAAUCUAAGUGCUCACUAGCUGUUAGCUGCAUUGAACACCCGACCGACAGCACAGAAAACGUGGUCUUCCACGUUGCGCAGCACAAGGGAGAAGGAGAGAGAAAGGAAGGCGACGGUCCGUUGGUGUAUCACUGUUCACUCAAUUUGGAUGCAACUUGCAAGGACUUAUACAGUCAGACUCCAGUGGGAAUCCUCUGCAUUGAUGAAGAAAGUCCUCAGCUGAACCCGUCCAGAGUAGGAAUCAUCCUGGAAGGCAGUGUGGUGAUGGACGAGCUGCCCAACCUUCCUCAGGCCUUCUGUGUCCUUUUUGGGCUGAUAUACAGUACGCCCUACACCUGGAUUAUCCAAAGUACAUGAAAAACACUUUUUACUUUGUCCAGCAGGUGAUGUUCAACCUGGGUAAAAGUGAGCUGGCACCCAAAAUUCAGACUCUGAAAAAUCAGCUUGAAGUCUAAGGGGUUUCAAGUAGUUAUGCUACUGUUCCAGAUGCUACUGUAUGCUACUGUUCCAGAUACAGUAUUCUGCUGUUCCAGAUAUCAGGUGCUUAGUUUUUAAUGUUGCUCUUUUAGAUAAGUGUGCUGCCGUUUGUGCGCUGUUUUCACUUUGUCUGAUGAUGUGGGCAGUGAUAUCAUGGGUUAAUGAUCCAGUUACUGUCAUUUGUUUGGAUUUAUUUGGACAUGUUAUUUGGUUAAGUAGGUUUUUGGUGUGUCAGUUUAUCACUAUUGCUUACCUUUUCCAUCCUCUCUCUCUCUGCCCUCCUGUCUCUCUCUCCCUCUCUCUCUGAAAGUAAAUAUUUCUGUCAGUGAAAAUCUUAUAUAGUAUAUGCAUAUUUUCUCAGUCCUGCCAUUAAGAAAGAUGAACACCAUGCUGUCAGUCUUGUGAAU